rnacentral:rRNA from 1 species
GUUGAACGCUGGCGGCAGGCCUAACACAUGCAAGUCGAGCGGAUGAAGGGAGCUUGCUCCUGGAUUCAGCGGCGGACGGGUGAGUAAUGCCUAGGAAUCUGCCUGGUAGUGGGGGAUAACGUCCGGAAACGGGCGCUAAUACCGCAUACGUCCUGAGGGAGAAAGUGGGGGAUCCUCGGACCUCACGCUAUCAGAUGAGCCUAGGUCGGAUUAGCUAGUUGGUGGGGUAAAGGCCUACCAAGGCGACGAUCCGUAACUGGUCUGAGAGGAUGAUCAGUCACACUGGAACUGAGACACGGUCCAGACUCCUACGGGAGGCAGCAGUGGGGAAUAUUGGACAAUGGGCGAAAGCCUGAUCCAGCCAUGCCGCGUGUGUGAAGAAGGUCUUCGGAUUGUAAAGCACUUUAAGUUGGGAGGAAGGGCAGUAAGUUAAUACCUUGCUGUUUUGACGUUACCAACAGAAUAAGCACCGGCUAACUUCGUG